CCUACGGGUGGCAGCAGUGAGGAAUAUUGGUCAAUGGACGCAAGUCUGAACCAGCCAUGCCGCGUGCAGGAAGACGGCUCUAUGAGUUGUAAACUGCUUUUGUACGAGGGUAAAUCCCGAUACGUGUAUCGGGUUGAAAGUAUCGUACGAAUAAGGAUCGGCUAACUCCGUGCCAGCAGCCGCGGUAAUACGGAGGAUUCAAGCGUUAUCCGGAUUUAUUGUGUUUAAAGGGUGCGUAGGCGGUUCGAUAAGUUAGAGGUGAAAGGCCGAUGCUCAACAUCGGGGCUGCCGCUGAGACUGUAGGACUAGAGAUCGGAUGCAGCAGGCGGAAUGUGUAGUGUAGCGGUGAAAUGCAUAGAUAUUACACAGAACACCGAUUGCGAAGGCAGCUUGCUAGGCCGGAUCUGACACUGAUGCACGAAAGCGUGGGGAUCGAACAGGAUUAGAUACCCGGGUAGUC
rnacentral:rRNA from 1 species